rnacentral:sRNA from 1 species
UUAUCAGUAUGGGACGAGAGCCUUCGGA